GACGAACGCUGGCGGCGUGCCUAAUACAUGCAAGUCGAACGCAGUGGGGACGGGUGCGUAAAACGUGGGUAACCUCCCAUCAGAGGGGAUAACCCUUGGAAACAGGUGCUAAACCGAUACUGAUGGAUGGUCCCGCGGUGCAUUAGCUGGUUGGGGAGGUAACGGCUCACCAAGGCCACGAUGCCUAGCGGACCUGAGAGGUUGAUCGGCCACACUGGGACGGAGACACGGUCCAGACUCCUACGGGAGGCAGCAGUAGGGAAUCUUCGGCAAUGGACGAAAGCCGGACCGAGCAACGCCGCGUGAGUGAAGAAGGGUUUCGGAUCGUAAAACUCUGUUGGUAGGGAAGCGGUAUCUAACCAGAAAGCCACGGCUAACUACGUGCCAGCAGCCGCGGUAAUUC
rnacentral:rRNA from 1 species